rnacentral:rRNA from 1 species
UACGUAGGGGGCAAGCGUUGUCCGGAAUCAUUGGGCGUAAAGAGCGUGUAGGCGGUUCGGUAAGUCGGCUGUGAAAGUCCAGGGCUCAACCCUGGGAUGCCGGUCGAUACUGCCGGACUAGAGUUCGGAAGAGGCGAGUGGAAUUCCCGGUGUAGCGGUGAAAUGCGCAGAUAUCGGGGGGAACACCUGUGGCGAAAGCGGCGCACUGGACCACAUCUGACGCUGAGGCGCGAAAGCUAGGGGAGCAAACAGG